UGCAAGUGAUGUAUUUCUCACGAUGGUCUGCUGAGCCCCCCAGUGAAGGGGCUCUGACGAAACUGCCGUGUGGCUUAACUGAUGCUUCCGA